GGCCUGGUGGUGUACCGGUAACACAUCCUCUCAAAAUGUGGUUUAGGGAUAAGAACUUUCCGAGGAGGUCCCUUGUUCGAAUCAAGGUCAGGCCC